rnacentral:rRNA from 1 species
UGGAGGUAGAGCUACCAAUAGGGCUAGGGGGCUUCACCGCCUACCAACCCCUGAUGAACUCCGAAUGCCAUGACAUCAUACCGGCAGUGAGGCUACGGGUGCUAAGGUCCGUAGCCGAGAGGGGAACAACCCAGACCAACAGCUAAGGUCCCCAAAUAGAUAUUAAGUUGAUUUUAACGAUGUGAGGAUGCAGUGACAGCUAGGAUGUUUGCUUGGAAGCAGCAAUUCAUUUAAAGAGUGCGUAACAGCUCACUAGUCGAGCGUUCUUGCGCGGAAAAUAAUCGGGCAUCAAAUAUCUUACCGAAGCUUUGGAUACCAGUCUAGGACUGGUGGUGGUAGGGGAGCAUUCUAAACUGCAGUGAAGGUGUGUCGUGAGAUGCGCUGGAGUGUUUAGAAAAGCAAAUGUAGGAAUGAGUAACGAUAAAAUAGGUGAGAAACCUAUUCGCCGUAAGACUAAGGAUUCCGGGAUCUAUGUUAAUCAGAACCGGGUUAGUCGGGGCCUAAGGUGUAGCCGAAGGGCGAAGCCGAUGGGAAACAGGUUAAUAUUCCUGUACAUGUAUCAGCUGUGAUGGGGUGACGAAGGAGCGUAAGGUUCGCCCACUGACGGAAUAGUGGGUUGAAGGGAGAAGGCGUUGAAGAUAUAGGCAAAUCCGUAUCUGAGCUGAGACCUGAUAGUACACAAGUCCCUUGGGAUGAGUGAUAGUGACUGUAAGCAUACUUCCAAGAAAAACCUCUAAACUUCAGGCUGACACAUCCCGUACCGUAAACCGACACAGGUAGUCGAGGAGAGUAUCCUAAGGCGCUCGAGUGAUCCGUGGCUAAGGAACUAGGCAAAAUGGUCUCGUAACUUCGGGAGAAGAGACUCCCCUCGUGAGAGGGGACGCAGUGAAGAGGCCCAGGCGACUGUUUAACAAAAACACAGGACUCUGCAAAAUCGUAAGAUGAAGUAUAGGGUCUGACACCUGCCCGGUGCUGGAAGGUUAAGGAAGGGGGUUAGUGCGUAAGUGCGAAGCUCUUAACUGAAGCCCCAGUAAACGGCGGCCGUAACUAUAACGGUCCUAAGGUAGCGAAAUUCCUUGUCGGGUAAGUUCCGACCUGCACGAAUGGUGUAACGAUCUGGGCGCUGUCUCAGCCACGAGCUCGGUGAAAUUGAAGUAUCGGUGAAGAUGCCGAUUACCCGCAACGGGACGGAAAGACCCCGUGAACCUUUACUACAACUUCACAUUGAGCUUGAAUACAGGAUGUGUAGGAUAGGUGGGAGGCUACGAAGCUGUGACGCUAGUCAUGGUGGAGCCAACGUUGAAAUACCACCCUUCCUGUAUUUAGGUUCUAAUCCCUAAAAGGGAAACAGUGUGUGGUGGGUAGUUUGACUGGGGUGGUCGCCUCCAAAAAAGUAACGGAGGCUCGCAAAGGUACACUCAGCAUGGUCGGUAAUCAUGCGAAGAGCGUAUUAGUAUAAGUGUGCUUGACUGAGAGACCGACGGGUCGAUCAGGAACGAAAGUUGGCUAAAGUGAUCCGGUGUUUCCGCAUGGAAGGGACAUCGCUCAAAGGAUAAAAGGUACUCCGGGGAUAACAGGCUGAUCCUACCCAAGAGCUCAUAUCGACGGUAGGGUUUGGCACCUCGAUGUCGGCUCGUCACAUCCUGGGGCUGGAGAAGGUCCCAAGGGUUGGGCUGUUCGCCCAUUAAAGUGGCACGCGAGCUGGGUUCAGAACGUCGCAAGACAGUUCGGUCCCUAUCUGUUGUGGGCGCAGGAAUAUUGAAGGGAGCUGAUUCUAGUACGAGAGGACCGAAUUGGACGUACCGCUAGUGUACCGGUUGUGGCGCCAGCUGCACCGCCGGGUAGCUAUGUACGGCAAGGAUAAGCGCUGAAAGCAUCUAAGCGCGAAGCCAUCCCUAAGAUGAGUAUUCCAGCACGUAAGUGUAAAGGACCCCAGAAGACUACUGGGUUGAUAGGUUAUAGGUGGAAGUGCAGUAAUGUGCGUAGCCGAGUAAUACUAAUUGUCCGACAGCUUCCUUUU